AUGUCUGGUGCGGUUGUGACGCCGCAGCCGGAGGUGGUGGAAGAGGGGCAUCGGUCGUCGCCGGUGAAGUGUGAGCUCCUCCGCACCAACUCCCCACUGGCGCAGGUGUGCCUGAUCGGCCUCGUGUGCUUCUGCUGCCCUGGCAUGUUCAACGCGCUCUCGGGCAUCGGCGGCGGCGGCCAGGUUGACCACACCGUCGCCGACAACGCCAACACCGCCCUCUACGCCUGCUUCGCCGUCUUCGGCAUCUUGGGCGGCGCGGCUCACAACCUCUUGGGCCCACGCACCACCCUACUCCUCGGCGCUCUCGCUUGCCCGCUCUACGACGCCUCCUUCCUCUACUACAACCUUGACUACAACCACCGUCGCUCCAUGGCCUUCCCGGUAGCCGCAGGGGCCAUCCUCGGCGCCGGCGCGGGCCUCCUUUGGGCCGCCCAGGGUGCAAUCAUAACCGCCUACCCGCCUCCGAACCGCCGCGGCACGUACAUUUCCAUUUUCUGGUGCCUCUACAAUUUCGGAGGCGUCUUUGGGGGGCUCUUCCCCUUCCGCUCAACUACCACCGUGGCAGCGAAUCAACCUGUGGUUGAGUUGGUUAGGUGGACAGUGGUUUCCCCAACCCACCAGGGUUCAAAUCCUACGAUGCCGGUAAACGACGGCACCUACGUCGCAUUCAUGGCGUUCGUGCUCCUCGGAAGCGCGCUCGCCCUCCUCAUCCUACCGCCUAGCAAGAUCACCCGUGACGAUGGGAGCAAGGUCGCGGGGGUCGCCUACUCCUCCGUAGCCAAUGCUUCUUGUGCUCCCCGCGGACUCCGCACCCAGGGCCUUAACAAUGUAUUCUACUGGGGUGCACGGAUGAUCGGCUCCGCCGGCAUCGGUUACUUCCUCGACUUUGGGUUUGCGAGCCGUAGGAAGAGGGGAUUCAUUGGGGUGAUUAUCGUCGCCAGACUCAGCACCGCCAUUUGGGGAGGAGGCCUCGCCAACCAACUCAGAUACAAGGACGGGAAGUGGGAGGACCUCAUCGAUUUCAAGGAUGGACGCCGGUACGCCGGCCCAUUUCUGCUCCUCGUCUACUGGAUCAUUGCGGCCCUCUCAGAUGACCCACGGGUCCUCAGUAGGUAUAUCGGAUUCUACAAUGGGGCGCAAAGUGCAGGGGCGACUGUUGCAUGGCAGGUGGACAGGCACAAGACGUCCUUGAUAUCCCAACUGUUCAUUAACUGGGGACUUAUGACUCUCAGUUGCCCCUUGCUCGCCCUACUGGUGUUCUUGGCCGUAAAGGAUGAAGCCAAUACGAUGGUUGUAAAGGAUAAAGACAGUUUAGUUCCCUAG
rnacentral:rRNA from 1 species